rnacentral:rRNA from 1 species
ACAGCAGCCGCGGUAACACGUAGGCACCAAGCGUUGUCCGGAUUUAUUGGGCGUAAAGAGCUCGUAGGCGGUUCGGUAAGUCAGGUGUGAAAUCUGUGGGCUUAACCCACAGCGUGCAUCUGAUACUGCUGUGACUAGAGUUCGGUAGGGGAGUGGGGAAUUCCUAGUGUAGCGGUGAAAUGCGCAGAUAUUAGGAGGAACACCGGUGGCGAAGGCGCCACUCUGGGCCGAAACUGACGCUGAGGAGCGAAAGCGUGGGUAGCAAACAGGAUUAGAUACCCUGGUAGUCCACGCCGUAAACGUUGGGCACUAGGUGUGGGUUUCAACCAACGAGAUCCGCGCCGUCGCUAACGCAUUAAGUGCCCCGCCUGGGGAGUACGGCCGCAAGGUUAAAACUCAAAGGAAUUGACGGGGGCCCGCACA